GAGUUUGAUCAUGGCUCACGCAUUGAACGCUGGCGGCAGGCCUAACACAUGCAAGUCGAGCGAGAAAGGUCUUCGGACCGAGUACAGCGGCGGACGGGUGAGUAACGCGUAGGAAUCUACCCAGUAGUGGGGGACAACUUGGGGAAACCCAAGCUAAUACCGCAUACGCCCUAUGGGGGAAAGCGGGGGACCUUCGGGCCUCGUGCUAUUGGAUGAGCCUGCGUCGGAUUAGCUAGUUGGUGGGGUAAAGGCUCACCAAGG
rnacentral:rRNA from 1 species